GAUGAAGAACGCAGCGAAAUGCGAUAAGUAAUGUGAAUUGCAGAAUUCAGUGAAUCAUCGAAUCUUUGAACGCACCUUGCGCUCCUUGGUAUUCCUUGGAGCAUGCCUGUUCGAGCGUCAUUUGUACCUUCAAGCUCUGCUUGGUGUUGGGUGUUUGUCUCGCCUCUGCGUGUAGACUCGCCUCAAAACAAUUGGCAGCCGGCGUAUUGAUUUCGGAGCGCAGUACAUCUCGCGCUUUGCACUCAUAACGACGACGUCCAAAAGUACAUUUUUACACUCUUGACCUCGGAUCAGGUAGGGAUACCCGCUGAACUUAAGCAUAUCAAUAAGCGGAGGA
rnacentral:misc_RNA from 1 species